GUGGGGAAUAUUGGGCAAUGGAGGCAACUCUGACCCAGCCAUGCCGCGUGAAGGAUUGACGGCCCUCUGGGUUGUAAACUUCUUUUGUACGGGAAUAACCCUCCGGACGUGUCCGGAGCUGAAGGUACCGUAAGAAUAAGGAUCGGCUAACUCCGUGCCAGCAGCCGCGGUAAUACGGAGGAUCCAAGCGUUCUCCGGAUUUACUGGGUUUAAAGGGUGCGUAGGCGGAUUAAUAAGUCAGUGGUGAAAGCCGGCAGCUUAACUGGAGAACUGCCAUUGAUAGUGUUAGUCUGGAGUAUGGUUGAGGUAGCUGGAAUGUGUCAUGUAGCGGUGAAAUGCUUAGAGAUGACACAGAACACCGACGGCGAAGGCAGGUUACCAACCCAUUACUGACGCUGAGGCACGAAAGCGUGGGGAUCAAACAGGAUUAGAAACCCCGGUAGUCC
rnacentral:rRNA from 1 species